CGCACAUAUGCUGGAAUGCUUUUUGCGUAAAAUGGAUUCGUCUGCCCAAGGAUGGGUCUGCGGCCUAUCAGGUAGUAGUGGGUGUAAAGUACCUACUAGCCUACGACGGGUACGGGUUGUGAGAGCAAGAGCCCGGAGAUGGAUUCUGAGACAUGAAUCCAGGCCCUACGGGGCGCAGCAGGCGCGAAAACUUUACAAUGCGGGAAACCGUGAUAAGGGGACACCGAGUGCCAGCAUCAUAUGCUGGCUGUCCGGGUGUGUAAAAUACACCUGUUAGCAAGGGCCGGGCAAGACCGGUGCCAGCCGCCGCGGUAACACCGGCGGCCCGAGUGGUGAUCGUGAUUAUUGGGUCUAAAGGGUCCGUAGCCGGUUUGGUCAGUCCUCCGGGAAAUCUGACAGCUCAACUGUUAGGCUUUCGGAGGAUACUGCCAGACUUGGAACCGGGAGGGGUAAGAGGUACUACAGGGGUAGGAGUGAAAUCUUGUAAUCCCUGUGGGACCACCUGUGGCGAAGGCGUCUUACCAGAACGGGUUCGACGGUGAGGGACGAAAGCUGGGGGCACGAACCGGAUUAGAUACCCGGGUAGUCCCAGCCGUAAACGAUGCUCGCUAGGUGUCAGGCAUGGCGCGACCGUGUCUGGUGCCGCAGGGAAGCCGUGAAGCGAGCCACC
rnacentral:rRNA from 1 species